rnacentral:lncRNA from 1 species
GGCCCAGUGUGGCGUAAGGUUGGUUUCCAGGGCCAACGUCCCCCCCCCCCCAGGGGCCGACAGGCUCUGAGCAUUUGCUGUGCAGUCUCCGCCUGUCUUGGGAACCAGUAGCCUCAGAGCCCCUGCUCACCCGGCUUCAUACCUGAGCAUGGAACUCACUGGAAAAUGUGGCAAUGCCUAACAAAGCCGUGGCUCUUGAGUGUGACUUGGGCAAGAGCUGCUUCCAGGUUCUCAGAAUGACACCUCCAAGAUGGGCACCAAGCUGGUUCCCCACGGUGCCCACAUCCUGAAGUGUCCCAGAUCACACAGCAGCGGCGGAUUUGAGUCACCCCAGGCCUCUGCAGACAGGCGCAAGAAAUAAGGAAACCUGCUCCUCCCGGAUUUCCUGGGCCGACGCCCGUGUCCCUGUGGGCUCCUGUCCUUCCUCAGAACAUGAGCAUCGAGCCAGGAGCGAAGCCCCGCGCUGUGGCUCAGGUGCAGCUGUGGGGAUCAGUUUCCACCAGUGAGGGGCAUGAAAAGGCCAC